GAUGAACGCUGGCGGCGUGCCUAAUACAUGCAAGUCGAGCGAACAGACGAGGAGCUUGCUCCUCUGACGUUAGCGGCGGACGGGUGAGUAACACGUGGAUAACCUACCUAUAAGACUGGGAUAACUUCGGGAAACCGGAGCUAAUACCGGAUAAUAUAUUGAACCGCAUGGUUCAAUAGUGAAAGACGGUUUUGCUGUCACUUAUAGAUGGAUCCGCGCCGCAUUAGCUAGUUGGUAAGGUAACGGCUUACCAAGGCAACGAUGCGUAGCCGACCUGAGAGGGUGAUCGGCCACACUGGAACUGAGACACGGUCCAGACUCCUACGGGAGGCAGCAGUAGGGAAUCUUCCGCAAUGGGCGAAAGCCUGACGGAGCAACGCCGCGUGAGUGAUGAAGGUCUUCGGAUCGUAACACUCUGUUAUUAGGGAAGAACAAAUGUGUAAGUAACUAUGCACGUCUUGACGGUACCUAAUCAGAAAGCCACGGCUAACUACG
rnacentral:rRNA from 1 species